rnacentral:lncRNA from 1 species
GUAGGCCGGCCCUGCCUGCAGGCCUCUUUCCACCCAGCCAGCAAACACCUCACCGUCUUCAUGUGUCCUGUGGCUUUUCAGCAGGCUGGAUUUUCUCCUCACAGCGUCUGGAAAACAGAGUCAAGUUUCUCCCUCCCCUCCCUCGCUACUCUCUCCUCCCUCUGCAGGCUCCGGAUCAGGCUGCCAAUCUGUAAAUGAUGUUUUAGGUUUUUCUUUGUUGUUGUUUUGGUGCUGUGAAGCCUGCCUUGUUAACACCAGGUGCUGAAAGAUUAAAACUUAUCAAUCACCAUCAUCAAGGGGGAGUUGCCGGGCACAAGUUCUCUUCUCUUGUCUGCUGCCAUGUGAGACAUACCUUUCACCUUCCGCCAUGAUUGUGAGGCCUCUCCAGCCACGUGGAACUCAGGUUUCAGUCCUUGAGGAGCGCUCACUAGGAUGGUAAUUGUUUGAUCGAUAGAUUAAGUGAGUUGGAAGACUCUCCAAGUGAAAAUUUAAAAUUACUGCAGUUUUGGCCUGAUGAUGUUAACCAGCAAGAACAGAAUCUGAAACCAGAUGAGCUGUUAGUACUGCUUUCAUCUGUUUUACAGCCACAGCGACAGCAGUUCCCUGGCUUCUGGAAGGAGUGUCGGUCUAUCCAAAAAAUGUACUAACAGAUAUGUAAAGUCUGUCAUCCAUUUGCAGCAAAUUUUGCCUACGGUAUGAAAUAGGAGUUCAAUUUGACAUUGAAUAUUGAUAUCUUAGCAAUAUUAUCUCCCAAUCUGUGAACACGAAAUUUCUUUAUAUUUAUUCAAAUUAUCUUUGGUUUUUAAUGAUGUUAAAUCCAAGUAUUCUUUGUGAUGCUGUUGUAAAUGGAAUUUUUUGUGUUGUUCAUUGCUAAUGUAUAAAAACCAAUGAUGUUUGUAUAUUAAUCUUGUAUCCUGCAACCUCAUUGAACUAGUUUAUUAGCUCUAGUAAUAUGUUGGUGUGAAUCCCUUAAUAUUUUCUACAUACAAGAUCAUGUCAUCUGCAAAUUGUUUUACUUCUUCCUUUCCAAUUUGGAUGCUUUUUAUUUCAUCUUGCCUACUGCUUUGGCUACAACCUCCAGUACAAGAUUGAAUAGAAGUGAUGAGACAGAACAUCCUUGUCUUAUUUGUGAUCUCUGGGGGGGAAGGCUUACAGUAUUUUGCAUCAACAUAUCAGCUACGGGUUUUUCAUAGAUGUCCUUUCUCAGGAUGAAAAAGUCCAUGUUUGGCUUUUUGAAUGUUUUCAUCUAAGAGUUUUGGAUUUUGCCAAAUGUUAAAUGCUUCUUCUGUAUGCAUUGAGAUGAUCUUGUUGUUUUUGUCCUUUAUUCUAAUAAUAUGGUGUACUACAUUGAUUUCUGUAUGUUGAAGUUUGUAUUCCUAAGAUAAAUCUCACUUGCUUAUGGUGUACAUUCCUUUCUAUAUGUUGCUGGAUUUACUUUCAUUAGUAUUUUGUUGAGGAUUUUUGCCUCUAUAUUGAGGGCUAUUGGCCUGUAGUUGUUUUCUUUGCCUGAUUUCUAAUGUGGGUGAUACUGAAUUGGGAAGGGUAUCCUCCUUCUCUGUUUUUUGGUGUUUGUGAAUAAUUGGUGGUAUUCUGUAAAUGUUUGACAGAAUUCACCAGUGAAGACAUCUGCUCCUGGACUUUUUCCCGUGGGAAGUUUGUUUUUAAGAGAUGGGAGUCUCACUCUCACCCAGGCUGGAGUGCAGUGGUGUGACAAUAGCUCACUACAGCCUUGAACUUGUGGGCUUAAGGGAUACUUCCACCUCAGCCUCCCAAGUAGCUGGGACUGCAGGUGUGCACCACCACACCUAUUUUUUUUUAAUUUAUUUUUUUUUAGAGACAAGGUCUCACUAUGUUGCCCAGGCUGGUCUUAAACUUCUGGCCUAAAGCCAUCCUCCUGCUUCAGCCUCCCAAGUAGCUGGCAUUACAUGUGUGAGCCACCAUGCCUGGCUGUGGGAAGUUUUUUGAUUACUCAUUAAUUUAAUCUCUUGUUUGGAUCUAUUUAAAGUUUUUAUUUCUUCUUCAGUUUUGAUAUGUCUUUCUAGAAAUUUGUCCAUGUCAUCUAAGUUCCCUAAUUUGUUGUCAUAUGAACUCUUAUUUUUAUUUCCAUAAGAUUGGUAGUAGUCUUUCAUUCCUGACUUUGGUAAUCUAUCUUCUCUAUUUUUUUUUCUAGGCUGCCUAAGGGUGUGUCAACUUUAUUGACUUUUUCUAAGAACCAGCUUUCGGUUUGAUUUUCUCUGUUUUUCUUUCUAGGCUGCCUAAGGGUUUGUCAACUUUAUUGACUUUUUCUAAGAACCAGCUUUUGGUUUGAUUUUCUCUGUUUUUCUUUCUAUCCUCUAUUUCAUUUAUUUUGAUUCUAAUCCAUAUUAUUUCUUUGUUCUGCUUGCUUUAGGUUUAGUUUGCUAUUAUUUUCUAGUUUCUGAAGGUUUAGAGCUAGGUUAUUGAUUUGAAGCUUUUAACAGAGACAUUUAUAGCUAUACAUGGUCCUUUAAGUGAUGGUUUAGCUGCAUCUCAUAAGUUCUGGUAUGUUCUGUUAUUUUCAUUACUCUCUUAAGGGACUUUGUAAUUUCCCUUGUGAUUCUUUUCUUUGACCCAUUGGUUAAAAGGAAUGUACUGUUUAAUUUCCACAUUUUUUUAGGUUUCCCAAAUUUUCUUCCAAUUUUAAAUUUCAUCCCAUUGUGGUCAGAGAACGUGUUUUGUAUAAUUUCAACGAUUAAAAUUAUGCCUUCUUGAUGGAUUGUCCCUUUUAUUAUGUAAUGUCUUUGUCUCUACUAACAAUUUUUAUCUUAAAGUCUGUUUUGUCUGAUGUUAUAUCCACUCAAGCUUUUUCCUUACAGUUUACAUGUGUUUUUUUCAUCCUUUUACUUUCAGCCUACUUGUGUCAUUGAAUCUAAAGUGUUUCUUAGUGGGCAGCAUAUAGUUGGACCAUGAUUUUUAUCCAUUCUACCAUCUUUGCCUUUUGAGUGUUUAAUCCAUUUAUGCUUAAUGCCAAUUACUGAUAAGGCAGGGUUUAGUCUGCCAUUUUGCUAAUUUUUUUCUUUUUUUUUUUUUUUAAUAGAGACAAGGCCUCACUAUGUUGUCCAUGCUGGCCUUGAACUCCCCAGGCUCAAGCAAUCCUCCUGCUUCAGCCUCCCAAAGUGCUGGGAUUAUAGGCAUGAGCCACUGUGACCAGAUUUUUUGCUUUCUAUGUCUUUUGUCUUUUUUGUUCCUUUAUUCCUCUGUUACUUCCAUAUCUUCUUUUGUUAGCAGCUAUUUUCUAGUGUACCAUUUUCUUUGUUGUAGCUUUUACUAUAUAUUCUCUAGCUAUGUUCUUAGUGUUUUUCCUGAGGAUUAUUAACAUUUCAAUUUAUAACAACCUAGUUUGGAAUAAUGCUAACUUCAACAGUAUAGAAAAAUUUUCUUCCUAAGUCUCUUCCCUCCUCCUUCCUUUGUAAUGUUGUCAUACAAAUUGUUUUUUCACCUUAUGCCCAGAUUUUUAAUUAUUGUUUUAUGCAGUUGCCUCAAAUCAGAUAGGAGGAAAGUUACCAAAAAUGCAUUUGUACUGCCUUUUAUAUUUACCAAUAUAACUACCUUUACCAGUGCUAUUUCUUCAUGUGCAUUUGAGUUACUAUUAUCUUUUCGUUUCAGCCUUUAAGUUCUCUGUUUUUCUUGUAGAGCAGCCUUGCUAAUAAAUUCUGUUUUUGUUUAUCUGGGCAUGUCCUAAUCAUUUCUGAAGGAUAGUUUUGCUGGAAAUAGAAUGCUUAUUUGAUAGUCAUUCACUUUCAGCACUUGGAAUACAUCAUCCCACUGUUUUCUACACUCCAUAGUUUCUGAUGAAGAUCCCUAGUACACGAGUCACUUCUCUCUUUGCUUCCAAGAUGCUUUGGUACACAGUGUGAUUUUGUAUCCAGGCACGGAUCUCUUGAGUUUAUACUACUUAAGGUUCAUUGAGCUUCUUGGGUAUGUAAAUCAAUGCUUUUCAUCAAAUUUCAGUCUUUGGCCAUUAUUUUUUUUUAAAAUAUUCUACCUCUUUCUCUCCUCUCGUCUGGGACUCCAAUUAUGCAUAUAUUGGUAUGCAUGAUGGUGUGCCACAGCUCUCUGAGGCUCUAUUCAUUUUUCUUUAUUCUUUUUUCUGUUUCUCAGACUAGAUAGAGUUCCUCUCAUGAAUUUUUCAUUUCAGUUAUUGUAUUUUCAACUUCAUGAUUUAUAUUUGGUUCUUUUAAAAAUAAUUUUUCAUUUUCUAUUUAGUGAGACAUUUUCAUACUUUUAGUUCUUUACACAUUAUUUUUCUUUAGUUCUCUGAACCUAUUUAAAAUAGCCAAUUUAAAGUCUUCAUCUAAAAAUCCAAUGUCUAGACUUCCUCAGGUGUCUAUUUUUUAUUCCUCCCAUGUAUGGAACAUACUUUCUUCUUUAUGUGUCUCAUAAUUUUUCUGUGGAAAACUGGACAUUUCAAAG